UGAGACCUCUUGAUGGCCGCGGCCGUGAUCUUCAUUGGGAUCGGCUGAGGAACUUCCGGGCUCCAUAGAGCACGAUGGCGGAUAACGUCCGCCCAGGGUGACCUGAGAGAUAGCGCAACAGAGAACAGACCGCCCGUCCUCGACGGGUAAGGGUGAAACGGCGGUGUAAGAGACCACCGGGCCUCUGGUAACAGUAGGUCGCAUGGCAAGCCUCAUCGGGAGCAAGGCCAAGCAGAUGGCGGUAAGGGCUGCUCGCCCGUGUCAUCGGGUAGGCUGCUAGAGCCUGGCGGCAACGUCAGGUCGAGAUGGAUGGCCAUCCGUGCCGUGCGUUCGCGCCCGGCACGACAGAACCCGGGGUAUAAGAGGUCUCAUUUU
rnacentral:RNase_P_RNA from 1 species